CCUACGGGCGGCAGCAGUGGGGGAUAUUGCACAAUGGGGGAAACCCUGAUGCAGCGACGCCGCGUGAGUGAAGAAGUAUUUCGGUAUGUAAAGCUCUAUCAGCAGGGAAGAAAAUGACAGUACCUGACCCAGAAGCCACGGCUAAAUACGUGCAAGCAGCCGCGGUAAUACGGAGGGGGCAAGCGUUAUCCGGAUUUACUGGGUGUAAAGGGAGCGUAGACGGUUAUGUAAGUCUGGAGUGAAAGCCCGGGGCCCAACCCCGGGACUGCUUUGGAAACUGUGUAACUGGAGUGCAGGAGGGGCAGGCGGAAUUCCUGGUGUAGCGGUGAAAUGCGUAGAUAUCAGGAGGAACACCGGCGGCGAAGGCGGCCUGCUGGACUGAAACUGACGUUGAGGCUCGAAAGCGUGGGGAGCAAACAGGAUGAGAUACCCCAGUAGUC
rnacentral:rRNA from 1 species